rnacentral:rRNA from 1 species
AGUGAACGCUGGCGGUAGGCCUAACACAUGCAAGUCGAACGGCAGCACAGUAAGAGCUUGCUCUUACGGGUGGCGAGUGGCGGACGGGUGAGGAAUACAUCGGAAUCUACUUUUUCGUGGGGGAUAACGUAGGGAAACUUACGCUAAUACCGCAUACGACCUACGGGUGAAAGCAGGGGAUCUUCGGACCUUGCGCGAUUGAAUGAGCCGAUGUAGGAUUAGCUAGUUGGCGGGGUAAAGGCCCACCAAGGCGACGAUCCGUAGCUGGUCUGAGAGGAUGAUCAGCCACCCUGGAACUGAGACACGGACCAGACUCCGACGGUAGGCAGCAGUGGGGAAUAUUGGACAAUGGGGGCAUGCCUGAUCCAGCCAUACCGCGUGGGUGAAGAAGGCCUUCGGGUUGGAGAGCCCUUUUGUUGGGAAAGAAAAGCAGCAGGUUAAUACCCCGCUGUUCUGACGGUACCCAAAGAAUAAGCACCGGCUAACUUCGUG